rnacentral:rRNA from 1 species
AGCGAACGCUGGCGGCAGGCCUAACACAUGCAAGUCGAACGAACCUUUCGGGGUUAGUGGCGGACGGGUGAGUAACACGUGGGAACGUGCCUUUAGGUUCGGAAUAACUCAGGGAAACUUGUGCUAAUACCGAAUGUGCCCUUCGGGGGAAAGAUUUAUCGCCUUUAGAGCGGCCCGCGUCGGAUUAGCUAGUUGGUUGAGGUAAUGGCUCACCAAGGCGACGAUCAGUAGCUGGUCUGAGAGGAUGAUCAGCCACAUUGGGACUGAGACACGGCCCAAACACCUACAGGAGGCAGCAGUGGGGAGUCUUGCGCAAUGGGCGAAAGCCUGACGCAGCCAUGCCGCGUGAAUGAUGAAGGUCUUAGGAUUGUAAAAUUCUUUAACCGGGGACGAUAAUGACGGUACCCGGAGAAGAAGCCCCGGCUAACUUCGUG